rnacentral:rRNA from 1 species
CCUACGGGAGGCAGCAGUGAGGAAUAUUGGGCAAUGGACGCAAGCCUGACCCAGCAAAGCAGCGUGCAGGAAGAAGGCUUUCGGGUUGGAAACUUCUUUUAUGAGGGACGAAAGAAGUGACGGUACCUCAUGAAUAAGCCACGGCUAACUACGUACCAGCAGCCGCGGUAAUACGCAGGUGGCGAGCGUUAUCCGGAUUUACUGGGUGUAAAGGGCGUGUAGGCGGGACUGCAAGUCAGAUGUGAACAUUAUGGGCUCAACCCAUAACCUGCAUUUGAAACUGGAGUUCUUGAGUGAUGGAGAGGCAGGCGGAAUUCCGUGUGUAGCGGUGAAAUGCGUAGAUAUACGGAGGAACACCAGUGGCGAAGGCGGCCUGCUGGACAUUAACUGACGCUGAGGCGCGAAAGCGUGGGGAGCAAACAGGAUUAGAUACCCCUGUAGUC